rnacentral:rRNA from 1 species
UACGGGGGGGGCAAGCGUUAUUCAGUAUGACUGGGCGUAAAGGGUCUGUAGGCGGCAAGUUUAGUUGUUGGGAAAAUGUUAGGGCACAACCCUAAAAAACUUACAAAACGUACUUUGCUAGAGUAAUAAAGGGGAUAAUAGAACUUCUGGAGUAGGGAUGAAAUCCAGUGACAGCAGAAGGAAUUUCAAACGGCGAAAGCAAUUAUC